GUGCUUCAGCAGCAUGUAUACUAAAAUUGGAAUGCUACAGAGAAGAUUGGCAUUGUCCCUGUGCAAGGAUGACACACAAAUUUGUGAAGCGUUCCAUGUCUUU
ensembl:snRNA U6 U6 spliceosomal RNA